ACAAAAGGAGCAGCCCUCGGGAGUCUGAAGGAAUUGAAUCUGUGACCAUCUCAACAUCAUCUGCUUGAACGAGAGGUGAUGUGCAUGGACAGAUUUAAAUGAACAUUUGUAUCCAAAAGCACUCAUAGGGAACGAGCCGGUGCUCACGCACACGCAUCUGCCUCCCAUUUAGCACGCUGCCUUGAACCGGACCACCUUAAGUGUGAUACUCGAUUUUAAGAGCUCUCCGGAGGCCACGACUCAUUUCAGCAAAGCCUCAUGGCUCUCUUAAGGUGGCCAGAUUGAUUGCAUUCAAUAUGAAUUGUAUUUGGUUCAGACAUACAUCAGGUUUUACAUUUCCACUAAAGUUUACGACCGCUGUAAAUUGAUAUAAUUGUUAAGAUUUUGCUUGCUCAUUUUUUUGUGUCCAAUUGAUUGUUCUCAGCUUUUGAGCUGUGGGAGCAGCAGUGUGAGAGAGUGAGGUUUGGCUGUUCCUGCAGUUGCACUAGAAGAUGGGAAACAUGCUAUUAAUUGUGACUUGCUUUAUUUAUUGCGCAUUUUAAAUGGCAAAAUGUGUUUCUGGUUUCUUUAAAGGUUUGAAACAACAAUCCAGUCUUUCUACUUUAAAAAUGUAUGUUUAAUUCAACUAAAACAUCUUAAUGUAAAAAAAAAAAGUCUUAAUAAUGAAUGUUUUUUUUUUUUUUUUUACAAACGUGCAGCUUUUCACUUCUCAAGCUGCGGAUUACUGUGAUGUUUUUAUCAGCCGUUUGGACUCUCGUUCUGACGGCACCCAUUCACUGCAGAGGAUCCACUGGAGAAUUGAAGGCAGGAAUUCUGGAAUCACCUCACAUCAUUCCUAAGGAAAAACAUGGACCCCCUCAUCUCGGCAACAAACACCCUCAGCUUCCUGCAGGGAAUGCACUUUCUGAACACUGUCCAGGUAAGGAUUUAGGGGCUCAGAUUUAUGACCAAGGUGGGACCCCACAGCUGGGGUGGGGAUUAGCCCCAGGCCAGAGCAGGAAGGUUUUUGGGGGAAUAAAUCAGGGGGUCUUGCGACAACUGAAGAAGUCUGGAGCAGAAAGCUGAUCAUCAUGGAGAAAAGGAUAAGUGAGGAAAAAUUGAGAAAUUAUUUCUUUUUUUCUUUUUUGUGCAAAGAUUCACGUUUAGCGUGAAAAGGUGACACUUCAUGUAAGGUUUGUUCAAAUCCAAAAGCCCAAAUACACCUACUGUAAUAUAAAAUGAAACCUGACCUAGUAUUUAUAAAAAUGGAAAAUUAAGCUAAAUGAAUGAAUCUAUAUAAAUCUAUAUAAAAUCUAAAUGAUGUAGUUGAAGAAAUAUGUAUUUUUAAAAUAUAUGACCUUUUUAUAGGUAAACAUUCCAUUUGAUUAUUAGUGUAUUAUGUAUUAAAUGCAUUUACCAUUGUUCAACAAAUUUUCGCAGACAAAGGGCCUUAUCAUACACCUGGCGCAAGGCUCGGAGCAAGUAUUUUUGCUAGUUUCAGCCCGACGCAGUUCUCAUUUUCCCCAUCCUGUGCCGCGUUGUAUGUAAAUAGGAAAUGCAGUUUAUAUCCCUUUGCAGGGAGUUUGACUGACAGGCAAGCUGCCCAAUCAUAAUGCUGAAUUUUUGUCCAACAAACAAUACAUACAGGAGAGCAGAUUAACGUUGGUGGACUUGAACUUAGAAAAAUGGUGUGUAUUGACAUCUUUCCACGGUUGAAAUAAAAUAGCUUCUGAUGUUCAUUCAUGUUUAUUUUGUGCUUUAACUAGACUAGUAAAGAGGAAGAGAGAUCUGUCCCGAUCAUCAAAGAGCCACAAAACGGUAUUCAUUGUUUGAAUUUUGCUAAACUCCUGAUCUUGUGAAAUUUCACCGAGCAGCAAUAUGUGAUCAUAAAUUAGNNNNNNNNNNNNNNNNNNNNNNNNNNNNNNNNNNNNNNNNNNNNNNNNNNNNNNNNNNNNNNNNNNNNNNNNNNNNNNNNNNNNNNNNNNNNNNNNNNNNGCAGUGAUGCUAGCCUUAAUUAAGCUAAAAGAAAACAAAUAUAGCAAAAUAUUUCACUAUAUAUGACCUCUUUACUAAAUAUUCAAACUGAUUAUUGUUUUGAUCGUAUCGAUUCUCUUUUUAAACUGUCAAGCUUGGUUUAGAACGGAGGCCUUCGGACGGAGACGCACACACACCUCCUGUGACAGACAGACACGCUCGAUUUCAUAACAGUCCCUGCAGGCGGGCCGGCCGUCAUAAGUGAAGCAGCAGGCUGAGAGAGUAGAAAACAGGGUAACAGGAGCCAGGCCAGCGCUGGUCAUCCGUCUGCUGCUUAACUCGCUCCCCACAUCCUGUUUUCAGAGAGAUGCCGAUGUCAAUUUACAGAAGAAUUGGUGCCGAAAAAGGCAGUGCGAGCCAGGACGUGGGCACUGAGGCAUUUUUAUCGCCCGCUGGCUUAUACUUCAACAUAUCCCUGACAAACCCACACGGCAGAGCUGAGUGUUUAAGGUAUGACCUAAAAAAGGAGUUAUUAAUCUGUACAACAUCCUUAAACCUUCACAUGAAUACUCCCACAAGUGCUGGAAUCAUGGGAUACGUGUAAUCUCAGCCAGGCCUACAAACGCUACUGUAAAUUGUGUUAAACUACUGUAUAUGACCUUUCUGUAUUUAAAACAGCACAGAAAUAUAACCGCGGGGGUGAAUAUGUGACUAAACGCUAAUGAUGUUCAAUUAUCAUGAGUGGCCUCUCCAUCAUAAUCUACAAACCCUGUGUGGAGAAUUUCACGAACCUGAAAUUACAACCCAAAUUACCCGAGUGAACUUCAACAUUAUAGGUUAUAUACACAACAGACUGCGCAUAAUAUUAUACUCACUUAAAUGGAUAGUUCACCCAAAAAUGAAAAUUCUCCCAUAAUAUAUUCACCGUCAUGUCAUUCCAAACCUGUAAGUCUUUCUUUCUUCUGUGGAACACAAAAGAAGAUAUUUUGUAAAAUACCCUAAAGGGGUUUCUUUGUUUAUUCAGUGAAACUCAAUUGGAUUCAAUGUUGCUUUAGACCUCAACAUUCAACUUCUGCAACACCAAAGUAAAGAUGUUUAUGACAGUCACAGUAGGUAUGUUCACAUCAAUCCAAUCCAAUUUCACAUUCUGAAAGUUUUACUUAUUAUGAUCUCUAAACUUUGCAAUCCAGUUUGUUUAUAUGUGCAUUACAUGUAGCUGUUCCAAAGUCAUACACUUUAAAAGGCAGAAAUAAACAUCCAAUGUGAAUUUUUCAUCUUAAAAAUUUAAGUACAAUCAACUUGGUUGCAAGUCAAUUCAAAACAAACUUAAAAAAUCAUGUUGAAUUUCAUAUAAAUUACAAAAAAA
rnacentral:lncRNA from 1 species